UCAAUUCAAUGACUUCACACUCAUACCUCAUUCAAUUCAAUGCCCUCAAACUCACACUCCAUUCUUUCACAUUAUAGUGCACACUCACGAUUUAAAAAUGACACCCACAAAUUUUUGUGUGACACUUUUUCAACGCAUGAGCCCACACAAAUCUUCUUUUCCAACAUAAUCAAAAUCCAUCUGCACACAUUAUAUAUCCACUUACAUAUGGAAAUAAGGGAGGAUAUCAAAUUUGAGACCUAUUCCCUUCCAAAAAAAGAGCAACGACGCACUCUGAAGAAUGACAAAAAAUAGUGUCGAUCCCCUCCCAUCAUCUUCUUUCGGCUCUUCUUCAAUCUUGAUUAGAUAUCACUUUCUUUAUUUCAUUUACACCUAGACUCACUCAUACAAAACUUCACAAACACACAACAAAUACAUUUAAAAAAUCUGGGUGCCAUUUUCAUCACAAGGGGACCUUUUCCUCACAUCUCUGUUUGGAUCUGUAAGCCUAAAGCAGCUACUCCUUCUUCAGCCGUUGUUUCCCCUCCCAAAUGCCACCAUGAAAUCCUCCUAUCUUCUACCAUAUCCAGCUAAAAAUAAAUAGCAAAAAUGCAGCAGCUCCGAGAGCUGAGUUCAGGGUCGGCGUCGAGCUUCUCUGUUUGGGUCUCGGUCGUGGUCUGUUUGUGCGAGAGCUUAGCAGUUCAUUACCCCUUAUGUAUUGAAGAUUAUAUUUCAACUAUUAAAAGUGAGGACUUCAUUGUUAAAAGGCAAGAACUCAUCGAACAGUUUGACCACUAGUUAUUCUAGCUUCAUAUUCUGAGGGCAUGACAUUGGGUGCAUAAUCAUGGGAGACAUUCUGUGUAAAGUUUGCUAUUGCUAAAUGGUUGUUAAGUAAUGUUUUUCAGUUGGUCUUUUGUUAUGAUAGUAUACAUUGGAAACGAAC